rnacentral:tRNA from 1 species
GGUAGACGCUACGGACUCAAAAUCCGUUGGUUCCAAAGGACCGUGAGGGUUCAAGUCCCU